rnacentral:rRNA from 1 species
CCUACGGGGCGCAGCAGUGGGGAAUAUUGCGCAAUGGGCGAAAGCCUGACGCAGCGACGCCGCGUGAGGGAUGAAGGUCUUCGGAUCGUAAACCUCUGUCAGCAGGGAAGAACGGUCACUGUGCUAAUCAGCAGUGAAUUGACGGUACCUGCAAAGGAAGCACCGGCUAACUCCGUGCCAGCAGCCGCGGUAAUACGGAGGGUGCGAGCGUUAAUCGGAAUUACUGGGCGUAAAGCGCUCGUAGGCGGUAUGUCAAGUCAAGGGUGAAAUCCCCGCGCUCAACGUGGGAACUGCCUUUGAAACUGGCAAACUGGAGUGUGUGAGAGGAUAGUGGAAUGCCAGGUGUGGGAGUGAAAUGCGUAGAUAUCUGGAGGAACAUCAGUGGCGAAGGCGACGAUCUGGCACAUAACUGACGCUGAGGAGCGAAAGCGUGGGUAGCAAACAGGAUUAGAUACCCCGGUAGUC